rnacentral:tRNA from 1 species
GUUGUAGCUCAGUGGUAGAGUAUUCGUCUAGCAUGUGUGAGGCCCUGGGUUCAAUCCUCAGCACAACA